GUCCAGCUGACGAGUCCCAAAUAGGACGAAACACGUGUCAUGGAU
rnacentral:hammerhead_ribozyme from 1 species